CCUACGGGCGGCAGCAGUGAGGAAUAUUGGUCAAUGGACGAGAGUCUGAACCAGCCAAGUAGCGUGAAGGAUGACUGCCCUAUGGGUUGUAAACUUCUUUUAUAUGGGAAUAAAAUGUUCCACGUGUGGGAUUUUGUAUGUACCAUAUGAAUAAGGAUAGGCUAACUCCGUGCCAGCAGCCGCGGUAAUACGGAGGAUCCGAGCGUUAUCCGGAUUUAUUGGGUUUAAAGGGAGCGUAGGUGGAUUGUUAAGUCAGUUGUGAAAGUUUGCGGCUCAACCGUAAAAUUGCAGUUGAAACUGGCAGUCUUGAGUACGGUAGAGGUAGGCGGAAUUCGUGGUGUAGCGGUGAAAUGCUUAGAUAUCACGAAGAACUCCGAUUGCGAAGGCAGUUCACUGGACUGCAACUGACACUGAGGCUCGAAAGUGUGGGUAUCAAACAGGAUUAGAUACCCUUGUAGUC
rnacentral:rRNA from 1 species